rnacentral:sRNA from 1 species
GACCUCUUCCCUCUGAGCCUUCUGGUGUCCAACUCUCCCCUUCUCUAGGACCAUGCAGUGCUGGAGGCUGAGAGGCAGAAGAUGUCAGCCCUUGUGCGAGGGCUGCAGAGGGAGCUGGAGGAGACUUCAGAGGAGACAGGGCAUUGGCAGAGUAUGUUCCAGAAGAACAAGGAGGAUCUUAGAGCCACCAAGCAGGAACUCCUGCAGCUGCGAAUGGAGAAGGAGGAGAUGGAAGAGGAGCUUGGAGAGAAGAUAGAGGUCUUGCAGAGGGAAUUAGAGCAGGCCCGAGCUAGUGCUGGAGAUACUCGCCAGGUUGAGGUGCUCAAGAAGGAGCUGCUCCAGACACAGAAGGAGCUUAAGGAACUGCAGGCAG